rnacentral:rRNA from 1 species
GCCUACGGGACGCAGCAGUGGGGAAUAUUGGGCAAUGGGCGCAAGCCUGACCCAGCAACGCCGCGUGAAGGAAGAAGGCUUUCGGGUUGUAAACUUCUUUUAAGAGGGACGAAACAAAUGACGGUACCUCUUGAAUAAGCUCCGGCUAACUACGUGCCAGCAGCCGCGGUAAUACGUAGGGAGCGAGCGUUAUCCGGAUUUACUGGGUGUAAAGGGCGUGUAGGCGGGAUGGCAAGUCAGGCAUGAAAACUAUGGGCUCAACC